GUUUGGAUACCCCUGGCUUAGUCGGUAGAACCUGAGAUUCUCAACCUCAGAGUCAUGGAUUCGAAUCCCACAUCAGGCA